rnacentral:antisense_RNA from 1 species
AAGGGGCAGGAUCUGGGGAGGAGAAGCGACUUCAGGAAUGCUGGGGAAGCAGUGUGACUCCAGGUGUGGAGGCUUGGAGGAAAGCAGACCUCAGAAGCCUGGAGGAAAGAGAGAAGCUGCCUAAACCUUGGCCAAGCCAAAGCAGAGGGCCUCACACGAUCAAGAUCCUCUCCUGCUUCUCUAGAGAAUGUGCUCCAUCAAAAAGAGAGAAUAAACCAAGAAGAGGAAGACAGAGGAUACGGAAACAGGGAUGAUGAGGCACGGAAGUCCCAAGAUGACAGCUGUGCAUCAGGCCUUCAGCAGGCAGGAUGGGAGCAGAAGGAUGGGGGGCUCUGGGAGUGUCUCCAAGAAAGAAAAAGAAACUGAUCAAAUAUCUAAUUUUUAAAAUAUGUUGAGGGGAAAUUUAUACUUCUGCAACAAAUUUUAGGAUAUCGUAAUAGAAACUAAGAAAAUAAACAAAUAAAAAAAACAAAAAAAACAAAAAACAAGGUAAUUAUCAACCCCGGGAGAACAAAGAUUGUAUGAGAAAAGAAAUAAAAACAGAAUUCAGUACAUGG